rnacentral:rRNA from 1 species
GGUUUCCCGGGCAAUGCCAAUCAGCCCGGGGUCAGUCGGGUCCUAAGUCUAAGCCGAACGGCGAUGGCGAUGGCAGAGACGGUUAAUAUUCCGUCACUGCCGCAUGGGGCGACGUGGAGACGGAGCAGUGAAACCACCGCGGGGCGACGGAAGUCCCCGUUGAAGAGUGUAGGCGUUGAGGAUGGCAGGCAAAUCCACCGUCCGAGCUGAACUUGAGAGUAUGGAGUCUUCUUCGGAAGAAUCCAAUAGUGUGGGUAAUCAUACUCCCGAGAAAAUCCGCUAAGCUUAACCCAUGCGGCACCCGUACCGCAAACGGACACACGUGGUCGGGUAGAACAUACUGAGGCGUUGAGAGAUUCAUGGUUAAGGAACUAGGCAAAUUGACCCUGUAACUUCGGGAUAAAGGGUCCUCGUGAAUAGCGAGGCGCAGAGAAUAGGUCCAGGCAACUGUUUAACAAAAACACAGGGCUGUGCAAACUCGAAAGAUGACGUAUACAGCCUGACACCUGCCCGGUGCCGGAAGGUUAAGAGGAGAUGUCACUCGCAAGAGGAAGCAUUGAAUUGAAGCCCCGGUAAACGGCGGCCGUAACGAUAACGGUCCUAAGGUAGCGAAAUUCCUUGUCGGGUAAGUUCCGACCUGCACGAAUGGUGUAAUGAUCCGGACGCUGUCUCAACCAUGAGCUCAGUGAAAUUGUAGUAUCGGUGAAGAUGCCGAUUACCCGCGAUGGGACGAAAAGACCCCGAGAACCUUUACUACAGCUUAGCAUUGACCUUGGUCAUCCGAUGUGUAGGAUAGGCCGGAGGCUUCGAAGCGGGAGCGCCAGCUUUCGUGGAGCCAUCCUUGAAAUACGGCCCUUUGGCUGUCUGAGGUCUAACGCGCGAUGCGCGGACACUGCUUGGUGGGUAGUUUGACUGGGGUGGUCGCCUCCAAAAGCGUAACGGAGGCUUCCAAAGGUGCCCUCGGGUCGAUUGGUAACCGACCUCAAAGAGUGCAAUGGCAUAAGGGCGCUUGACUGGGAGGCAGACAUGCCGAGCAGGCAGGAAACUGGGGCAUAGUGAUCCGGCGGAUGUGUAUGGAAACUCCGUCGCUCAAAGGAUAAAAGGUACUCCGGGGAUAACAGGCUGAUCCCCCCCAAGAGCUCAUAUCGACGGGGUGGUUUGGCACCUCGAUGUCGGCUCGUCACAUCCUGGGGCUGGAGAAGGUCCCAAGGGUUGGGCUGUUCGCCCAUUAAAGUGGCACGCGAGCUGGGUUCAGAACGUCGUGGGACAGUUCGGUCUCUAUCUAUCGUGGGCGUGGGAGUUUUGCGUGGUGCCGUCACUAGUACGAGAGGACCGUGAUGGACAGACCUCCGGUUUACCAGUUGUGCCGCCAGGCGCACCGCUGGGUAUCUGAGUCUGGAUUGGAUAAGCGCUGAAAGCAUCUAAGUGCGAAGCCAGCCGCAAGAUGAGAACUCCAUUGAGGGUCGUCAGAGACGAUGACGUUGAUAGGAUGCAGGUGUAAAGACAGCGAUGUCAAAGCCGAGCAUUACUAAUUGCCC